rnacentral:rRNA from 1 species
AUGUAUGAGGAUGUUGUACAGUGGCGGUUCACGGGCUUUUAUGGUCAUCCGAACUGGAACGAACGUCAUUUAUCUUGGGAUGAUAUUCGUAAUUUACAUAGUAAGGGCGACCACCCUUGGGUGGUUUUGGGGGAUUUUAAUGAAAUUUUAUAUCCCUCGGAAAAAGAGGGCGGUAAUGCAAGACCAAAUGGAAUGAUGAGGGAUUUUCGUGAAUGCCUUAUGGACUGUGGGCUGGAAGACUUAGGUUACAGGGGCGACCCUUUUACUUGGAGUAGAGGUGAAAUUCGAGAGCGUCUCGAUCGGGCAGUUUGUAAUGUGGGGUGGGCACAUAAAUUUCCUCGUGCAGCGGUGAUUAAUGAAGAACAUGUCCAUUCUGAUCAUCGGCCGCUGGUCUUGGACAUGGAUUAUUUGGAUGACAAUAUUUUCAGACAACCAGAGGGGCGCGUGAAGCAAUUUGAAGCUAGAUGGUUAAAGGAAGAGACUUUCACUGAAAUUGUUAAGGCUUCUUGGGAAAGAGCAAAGUUAGCAGGUAUUGGCCCUUCACUGGCUGAUCGAACAAGAGCCGUGCAUGCCGAUUUGCACACUUGGGAUCGUGUAACUCUCAAGGGCCAGAAGCGGAUAAUUAUAAAUUAA